GUAAUUUUUUUUUUUUUUGGUCAACAGCUGCUGAAUAUUCUCCUAAACGUAUGUUUCAAUUUUUAUUACAAGUCAACAUGUUCAUACUGACUAUGAAGAGAUUUCUCAAGUGUGUUGAGGACCAAUCUUUCUUUCACUAAAACAGAGGCUAUUUAUUAAUUUAGGAAACUCAAAAUUGAGGUGAGUGUCUCACAACGCAUAGGAGCCAGGGCUGCCUCCAACUUUUCUGAUAUCACCCAGAGGAUGCCUUCAUUUUCUUCACUUUUCUCCAGAAUAUCAUGAAUACAUGGCUUGAUCUCAUUCUGACGCACAUAACACCCACAGCCAGAUGAGUGAGUAUAGAGAGGCUCCUGACUGGGAAGGAAACCCAGUGGAAUCAAUCCACAUAGCUUAAAAGAAGGCAAAGACAAGGAUGUGGUUUUAAGAAUCAAUUCAGAUGAAUGAAUUGCUGCCAGAAAUAGAACUGAAGAUUUCAUUUUCAACAACUAAUUACAUCAAAUGUAGUGUUCUGAAUGGGUUUCUAUUGUUUGUUUUGUUAUAUUUAAAAGUUAUUGGAAAAUUCUGAUAGGUAAACACUUUUUUUCUAUCAUUUUUAGUGCAAGUCGGCAGGGCUCUAUGAGAUAGAUAAUUAGUAAAUAUGUUGAUACAUAUAAGAAUGAAUAUGAAUGCACAUAAAAUGAAAAUUCACCUAUGAAUGUAUUAAUCUAGUUGACUCUUACACAAUACAGGUUUGAACUGUGUGGGUCCACUACCUGCAUAUUUUAUUCUGUAUCUGCCACCCAUGAAACAGCAAGACCAACACUGCCUUCUCAAUGUGAAUAUGGCAAGGAUGAAGACCUUUAUGAUAAUCAACUUCCAUUUAAUGAUAAAUAUAGUAAAGUAAGCCAGAGAGAAUAUAACUAUAGUAUACAAUAUAUAACAUACAAAAUGUGUUUAUUCACUGUUUAUGUUAUUGGCCAGAUUUCUGGUUGCUGGAGAGUCAAUAGUUACAUGUAGAUUUUCAACUGUGCAGGGCGUGAGCCUCUAACCCUUUGAUUGUUUAAGGGUCAACUGUAUAAGCAUUUAAAAAUCUAACUUCCUAGCUUUUUCAGACUUUUUAAAAAUGUGAUCUAUAAAAGGUAAGUAAGUCUUUGUUUUUGAUGACAGGUGAUAUCUUAUGUUCACAAAAUUUAAUCUAUGAAGUAGAUGAUGUAAAAAAAACUCAAAAAUAAGACAAAAAAUCUAGUGAAAUAAUGAAUGUUAAGAUCUACUUCACCUGCUUGGUGAAUAUAUUAAUAGGUAUAAUUUUUUCAGAUGCUAUGUAUAGUUUUGAUGCAUCCCUUCCUCCUCAGAGGGAAUCACUGAUUAUUUGUGUUGUGUACCACAUGCAUAUUUUCCAUGACAUGUGCAUACUUAUGCAUUUUUUUAUUAUACAUAUAAAAUUAAAAUAUUUAUUUAAUAAGAGAUAACAAUGCACUGUGCUGCUGAUUUUGUGUUUUACAUUAUAUUUUGAAAUUUAUCCAUGUUAACAGAUGUAGUCUGGUUGAUUCACCUUAUAUCAGUGAAUCAGUGUUAUAUAAACUGUUUCCAGUUUUUUGGACAGCACAACAAUAACUAACUAUUCUUGUAAUUGUGCACAGCCUAGUUACUAGAAUAUGCCUAAGUGAAAUUUCUGAUAUGUUGCCAAAUUAUUCUCCCCAUUAGAUUUUCCAAUUUAUAUAUUCAUCAACAGCUUGAUAUUCUUGCUAAGAACAUGACUAUAUUGUACAAUAUUUGUAGAUAUUCUUGCCAAUUUUCUGUAUUGAUGAUUUUUGUAUUUUAAAUACCCAAAUAUGCCAUAUUUUAGUUGCAACCAAAUAUCGAAUAUGCUGAAAAAGGCAGGUGAGUAACCUCAAACCUCAACCUAAGUAACAAAGCCUUUUCCAUGUACUUUCUUGUGGCUGAUUUUGCUAACCCUGCUCAAAUCAAAUUAAGACCCAUCCCACCAGUAAUAUGUGUUUUUAGUAUUUUUCUAAUGGUUUGCAGUUUUGUUAGGUUCCCUGAAUACUAAUCCUCUCUCAGCUACGUGUAUUGAAAAGAUCUUGAGUAUAGUAUUUUAUUAUAUGAAAAUAAUGUUACAAUAUAGAUAAUAUCCUCAAUAUAAUCUUUAACUUUGUAUUGGAGACUUUCUAUUCCCUAUCUAUCUCUUAUGUUCAUAUAAAAGGCUUUAAAUCGGCUGGGCAUGGUGGCAGGAGUUCAAGACGGGCCUGGGCAACAUGGUGAGAGCCCCAUCUCUACAAAAAAAAAUACAAGAAUUAGCCAGUUGCGGUGGUGCAUGCUUGUACUCCCAACUAUUGGGAAGGCUGAGGCAGGAGGAUUGCCUGAGCCCUGAUCAUGUUACUGCACUCCAUCCUGGGCAACAGAACAAGACUCUGUCUCAGAAAAAAAAAAAGUCUUUAUGCUUUUAAAAUUUAUGUCACUGGCUGGGGCUGGGCGCAAUGGCUCAUGCCUGUAAUCCCAGCACUUUGGGAGACCCAGGUGGGCAGAUCGCCUGAGGUCACGACUUUGAGACCAGCCUGGCUAACAUGGUAAAACCCCCUCUCUAUUAAAAAUACAAAAAUUAGCCAGGCAUGGUGGCACGUGCCUGUAAUCCCAGCUACUCGGGAGGCUGAGGGGGGAGAAUCGCUUGAACCCAGGAGGCAGAGGUGCAGUGAGACGAGAUUGUGCCACCGCACUCCAGACUGGGUGACAGAAUGAAAUGCCGUAUCAAAAAAUAAUGUUAUUAAUCUAAUUUAGAAUUGAUUUACAUUCACGGUGUUUUGGGAGGCAUCUAACCACCUACGUAUCUCUUUCAGUAUAGCUAAUGUAUUGUUCUCUCAAUCGUUUAAUUGAGGAGGGCCACCCACCUUGCUUUGCCUUAGAAGUUGUGCUAGUCAGGUGGAUAUGCCAUACCAAAAUACCGUGGACUGGGUGGCUUAAAUGACAGAAACGUCUUUUCUCACAGUUCUGGAGGUGGGAAGUCCAGAUCAAGGUGCUGUUAGGCUUGACUUCUGGCAAGGCCUCUCUUCCUUGCACGUGGCUACCUUGUUGCUGGGCCUUAACAUGGCCUUUCUCAGAACACACACACACAGAGUGAGAGUUUUGAUGCCUCUUCCUUCUUUGAAGGACAUUAGGGCUCCACUCUUAUGACCUUAUUGAACCUUAUACCUGGAUUUCACAGAAACUAAACAUCUCAUAUAGAGAUAAUAUUUAUUCAGUGAUUUUUUUUUUCUCCUUAAAAAUGGCACACGUGCCUGGUCCAAAUAAGAUUUUCACUAGAACUUUAGUCUAAGUGAGACUCGUCUUCUUCAACAUCAAAAAGUUAGGGGUGUGAUAGUGAAGCACUAUGUACUCUACUCGCAUUUUUAAGAUAGAUAGAGUUUCACUCUCUUGCCCAGGCUGUAGGGCAAUGGCACAAUCUUGGCUCACUGCAACCUCCACCUCCUGGGUUCCAGCGAUUCUCCUGUCUAGUGGCUGGGAUUACAGGUGCACGCCACCAUGCCCAGCUAGUUCUUUGUAUUUUUAGUAAAGAGGGAGUUUCGCCAUGUUGGCCAGGUUGGUCUCGAACUCCUGACCUCAGGUGAUCCACUGACCUCAGCCUCCCAAAGUGCUGGGAUUACAGGUGUGAGCCACUGCAACCGGCCUGAAAAAAAAUAUUUUUAAGAUUAUAAAGCUGAUGACUUUUAUGGUUGUUGACAAAACUUUCAGGGUUGUUGGAUCUCUGAUGCCAGUGCAUCUGUGUAAAAGGCAAUAAUAUGAGGAGCUUGAUUUCCUGCUAAUGUUUGUUGAGAAUAUUUUUUAAGUACUGUAGGAGCUCCAUCUGUGGCAAGAAGCAGCAGCAUUCAUUUCCACUUAAAGUUAUGAUCUACUAAAAAAAGAAUCAAGCAACAUUCUUUAGCUGCCUUUAAAAUGUUGACUCUUUCUUUGAGUAGUUUCUAAAAUGGACAUGUAAGAGAUGUAAUUUUCCCUUAUGGCAUCAGCGUGCACGUAAAGAGUAAUAUAAUAUAUAGAUUUGAAGGUCAGGCAUGGGGACUCACUCACAGAUCUGUAAUCCUAGCACUUUGGGAGGCCAAGGCAGAAGGACAGCUUGAGAUGGAGUUCAAGACCAGCCUGGGAAACAUGGCAAGAUCCUGUCUCUACAUACAUUUUUUAAAAAUUAGCCAGGUGUGGUGAUACACACCUGUAGUCUCAGCUACAUAGGAUGCUGAGGCGGGAGAAUUGCUUGGCUCCAGGAUGUCAAGGCUGCAGUCAGCCAUGUUUGUGCCACUGCACUCUAGCCUGGGUGACAGAGUGAGACCCUGUCUCAAAAAAUAAUAAUGAUAUUAACAGUAAUGUUUUUUAAAGGACGUGGCUACCAUGGAAGGGGAGUAGUAAAGCUGCAGUACCUUGAUGAGCAAUUUGAGAGUUAGCUAGAUUAGAAAAUACGUAAAACUUAGAUAGAUAGAUAGAGGUAUAGAACAUACAUGGGAAUAUAUCAGUGGGAACACAGAGCGUCAUUUGAAAAAUGAUUCACUUUCCGGUCUUUUCUCCUUCCUUUUCCAGGCCACCAACCAGUUUGAAAAUUUUUGUGGGACACAUGUCUUUAUUUAAAGUCUUUCCAAUGCUUUGGGACUUCUUUUCUUUGGCAAUCUGAUGCAUCCCAAGCACCUAAAGCACUGCCUGGCACAUAUGGACAUAUAAUAAG
rnacentral:tRNA from 10 species